CUUUGGAAACAAUCUACACAUACAUGACACAUAGAAGUAUGUUUUAACAUGGUUUUUUACGUAACACGUGGUUAGGAAAACCGUUGAGUUGAUCGUGUUUCAAGUUACCUUUGCUUCGUUGUCGACUUCAAAGUUAGGUGAAAACUCUUACCGCCAGAGUUGAACAUUACUACAUGCCACCUUGUCUAAGAUUACGGCGUUGUCUUUCAAUGGUUGUACAGGUUUCAACAAGAAGAACAGGCGAUAAUUCUGUACCACAUUAAGAAUGGCAGAAGACGUCACUGCUUAUCCUCUGUAUCGAACGAACAUACUGAGUUUGUCGUACAACUCGUAAAGAGUGUUACAGUUUAUA